UCUGAAUUCAUAUUUUAGUGUAUUUGUUUUGGGAAUGUUUUCUUUCCCUUCACAAUGAAGGGAUUCUUUAAAAAGAAUUAUAUGCAAAAAUUAGCUGAGUGGUUUGCCAUCGUUUACAAUGAAAAUUUACAUGCAGUGGCAGUAAUCCAAAAUGUUACAUUUACCUUAUCAUAUGAUUCCCGUUACUUCAGAGAAACCUUAGAGACUAAAUCUCACCAACAAUUAAAAGGUCCUGAUAUUCUAAUCAGAGCCUGAACAUUACAAUAACAUUUGUUAUUAGAUCAGAAUUACAAAACCACAAACAGAGUAAGAAAAAAGAUUCAUGAUUUUAAUCUUUGUGACCCUUGCUGUAACAAUAUUAUUACCACAUAGCAGUAGUUUCUCAAGAGAAAUUUCUCACCAUAUCAGUGAGGUGAUAAUUGCAGCUAUUUUCCUGGUAUGGGUUAAUUUCAUGGAAAUAAGUCCCAACGAUGAAUGAUCAUGUUUAAAUAAGAAAAAUGCUGACGAGCUGUGUCUUAAUUGUACACAUUCUUCUUGGGAAAUUUUUAACCAAGAAAUGAGCAUAUAAGCAUUAAAGGAAUAUUUAAAGAAACUAUAGAUUUGAGAAAGUUUGUUUUAGAAGAGCAGUUCUAGAUAUUAACAGCUGGGCACAGUGAAAUCUAAGUUUCCCAACACAAGUGUCAGAAAAGAUCCACUUAUCCUAUCUUACUUGCAAUUUCCAGUUCCCUAAUAAAAGAGCUUUCUUUUACAUUAAUUUUUAGUGUAUAAAUAAACUUUUAUAAAUUAGUAAGAGAAAGCUCCACAACCCCACAGAGGACAUGAAUAAGCAGUUCACAGAAAAAGAAACACAAAUGGCUUUUAAAAAUGGAAAAUGCUUAAACCAGGCAAUUGUUAACUCAGAAAAAAUAAAAAGUUGUAUAAGGAAUGCAAUCUGAUUCCCAACUUGGCUCAGCAACAAAUAAUAUUUAUGUGAUAUUAAUACCCUAAGUGCUGAACUUAAUAUACCUAUCACUGGCUUUCUGAACAAAAUGGACUUGAGAUGUUCCAGCACAAACCUUUUCAUCUCACCUUUUCAGCUCCAUGGAUGAAACAGCAAUCUUUGUAGCUUUUCUGAGUACUCUUGGGUUAUUAAUGAAUAGUCUCUUUUUCCCCCAAGGUAACCCAAAGUCCAAUUUAGUCUAAUAUCAGCAUACCAAGCUCUUAUCCAAUGUAUAGCUUUCUCCUGCGGCUUGGGCCUGACACAGGCUUGAAGUUUGCAGUGGGCAAGAAGAGUGAGCAGAGCAGCCAAAUAAAAUAUAGGAUGCUCAGUUAAACCUGAAUUCAAGAAAGCAACAAGUACUUUUAAUACAAUUAUGUCCCAAAUAUGGCAUGGGAUAUACUUAUACUCAAAAAGCAUUUAUUGUGUAUCUAAAAUUCAAAUUAAACUAGGCAUCGAGUUAUUUUUAUGUGCUAAAUCUGGCAACCCUCAGUUCAGGGCCAAUGUCACUAUGUCCCAUCUUGCUCACUGUGUUGCCUCUGGCUCCUCUAGGGUUAGAGGCAGACAUGAAAAAGAUAGCCGUGAGGAGAAGGAGAGCUCUUGGCCUGCAUGGUUGUCAUCUGCCUGUGUGCCCUCUUGGUGUAUCAGCUGUCCAAGGAGUACUCAGGCUACCACAAGCGCCCUAGAAAAGAGCUCCUUCAGGACUAGGGAGCAAGACCAGGCUUCAACCAAGGCAAAGACUAACAAUUAAAUGAGAAAGCAAGUGGAAGGGCCGAUCCAGAUCCAGGAAUACACAGAAGCUGGAGGUUCAAGGAGAGCGGAGACCUAGAGCCUAUUUGCUAAGCUCAGUCACUGGAUUACUGAAGUCAAAUCCUGCUCAGUUUCAAGAAUGCCAAGCUGGAGCCACACACCAGGGUUGAGGCCAGCGCCCCAGGCUGGGGUGAGGCCCUGGAAGUAGCUAGCAGGCUGGAGCCAGAGUACCCACACAGUUGGACAAGGCUAUGCUAAUGAUGCUGUGAUUGUGGAUGAAAUCUUCAUGUGCACCAGUGGGUUUUCGUAUUUUAAGCCAAGGAUAAAUGCUGCCUAUGCAGAUCACAGACUGAUAGCUGUUGCUAGAUCAGCACUAAAUAGUCUUUCCUACAAUUAAAAUAAUAUCUCAAAGCACAUGUCUUGAUAGUACGUGGGUAGUGGUGCCUUCAUCUGUGAAAGACUGUUUUGUAUAAUAAAGUUGUUUUUAAUAGAUGAGUCAGGUAAUUUUUUAUUGAGCUUGCUUCAAAAUUGUUUGGUCAUUUUCUGUAUAAUAAAUAAGCUUUACCGUAUGCUUUUUUGGAAGUCUUUCUGUCCAUCACUCUCCAUUAAAAAUACAUCACAAAAUGAAUAGAACUGGACAUCAUAUCUGUGUUUUGCUUCCACUUAAGUUAUCUUUUUGUUUUUAAUAAGACAGGGUCUUCGAAAAAUUUAUAUUUCAUUUUUAUUGGU